UACGUAGGGUGCAAGCGUUAAUCGGAAUUACUGGGCGUAAAGCGUGCGCAGGCGGCUUUGCAAGACAGAUGUGAAAUCCCCGGGCUUAACCUGGGAACUGCAUUUGUGACUGCAUGGCUGGAGUGCGGCAGAGGGGGAUGGAAUUCCGCGUGUAGCAGUGAAAUGCGUAGAUAUCUGGAGGAACACCGGUGGCGAAGGCGGCAUCCUGGACCAACACUGACGCUGAGUGAGCGAAAGCCAGGGGAGCAAACGGGG
rnacentral:rRNA from 1 species